rnacentral:rRNA from 1 species
GCGGCGGACGGGUGAGUAAUGGCUGGGAAUCUGCGUGUUUGAGGGGUAUAACUACUGGAAACGGUAGCUAAUACCUCAUUUUGUCUCAGGAAGAAAGAGGGGGACCUUUGUGCCUCUUGCCAUCAGAUGUGCCCAGAUGGGAUUAUUUAGUAGGUGGGGUAAAGGCUCACAUAGGCGACGAUCCUUAGCUGGUUUGAGAGGAUGUUCAGCCACACUGGAAUUGAGACACGGUCCAGAUUCUUACGGGAGGCAGCAUUGGGGAUUUUUGCACAAUGGGCGAAAUCUUGAUGCAGCCAUGCCGCGUGUAUGAAGAAGUCUUUCGGUUUGUAAAGUACUUUCAUAGGGGAGGAAGGUGUUGAGGUUAAUUGCUUUAUCAUUUGACGUUUCCAGCAGAAGAAGCACCGGUUAAUUCGGUGCCACCAGCGGCGGUAAUACGAAGGGUCCAAGCUUUAAUCGGAAUUUUUGGGGGUAAAGCACAGCCCAGGCGUUUUUUCAAUUUGAAUGUAAAAUCCCCGGGUUCAGCCGUGGAAGGUCCAUUGGACUUGGCAGGUUAGAGUCAGGUAGAGGGAGGUGGAAUUCCUGGGGUAGCGGUGAAAUGGGUAGAUAUUGGAAGGACGGCCGGUGGGGAAGGCGGCCCCCUGUACAAARACUGCCGCUCACUGUCGAAACSUUGGGAACCAACCAGAAUUAAAUACCCUGGUAAGUCCCCCCGGUAACCAAAUUGAUUUAGUAGGUAGGGCCCUUGAGCUUUCAGUGCCGCAGUUAACGCGUUAAGUCGACCGCCUGGGGAGUUCGGCCGCAAGGUUAAAACUCAAAUGAAUUGACGGGGGCCCGCAAGCGGUGGAGCAUGUGGUUUAAUUUGAUGCAACGGGAAGAACCUUUCCUAGUUUUGACAUCCAGAGAACUUUCCAGAGAUGGAUUGGUUCCUUCGGGAACUCAAAGACAGGUGCUGCAUGGCUGUCGUCAGCUUGUGUUGUGAAAUGUUGGGUUAAGUCCCGCAACGAGCGCAACCCUUAUCCUUUGUUGCCAGCGGUUCGGCCGGGCACUCAAAGGAGACUGCCAGUGAUAAACUGGAGGAAGGUGGGGAUGACGUCAAGUCAUCAUGGCCCUUAUGAGUUGGGCUACACACGUGCUACAAUGGCAGAUACAAAGAGUAGCGACCUCGCGAGAUCAAGCUGACCUCAUAAAGCCGUUCGUAGUCCGGAUUGGAGUCUGCAACUCGCCUCCAUGAAGUCGGAAUCGCUAGUAAUCGUAGAUCAGCAAUGCUACGGUGAAUACGUUCCCGGGCCUUGUACACACCGCCCGUCACCCCAUGGGAGUGGGUUGCAAAAGAAGUAGGUGGCUUAACCU